UGCGUAGGCGGGCUAAUAAGUCAGUGGUGAAAUCUCUCGGCUCAACCGGGAAACUGCCAUUGAUACUGUUAGUCUUGAGUUCGGUUGAGGUAGGCGGAAUGUGUAAUGUAGUGGUGAAAUGCUUAGAUAUUACACAGAACACCAAUUGCGUAGGCAGCUUACUAGACCGACACUGACGCUGAGGCACGAAAGCGUGGGGAGCGAACAGGAUUAGAUACCCUGGUAGUCC
rnacentral:rRNA from 1 species